rnacentral:lncRNA from 1 species
GAGCCGAUUGUUCUCUGGGAAAAAAAAAUUUUUUUAAAUUACUUGAACUGUUAAGAAAAUGACAAAAAAGGGAAAACAUCAUUUUCAAAUUUAAAAAAAAUUACUGAACUGUUAAGAAAAUGACACAAAAAAAGGGGAAAUAUCAUUUUCUGCAAAUCUAUGCAGCCCCAAGGUGGAGCAGCUGGGGAGCCUGUGCUGUCUGCAUCUCUGCAGUGCAGUUCCUGGAGGGGCACAGCGUGUCUACACCGUCUAUCCUGGCUCUUGAUAGGAGGGGGAGGUUUGGGUGUGGAGGACGGUGCACUGGGCAGGUGCACUUGGUGUGCCAGGACUGGCUGGGAAACUCCUUUCAAUCUUCAGUUCCCAAGGCGCCUGUGCCCACCUCUUAUACACAUUAAACUAGACGGGGGUGGGUCCUAGUCCUCGCUGUGUGACCGGACAACAGUCAGUCACUUAACUCCUCUGAGCCUUAUGGGUAAAUGGAGGUAACCAACAGGAUUUACAUACACACAAAGAUCAAGGUAGCAUCAUAGAUGUGCAUUCCAUGAAGUGAGAGAUUAGUAGUGACUUGGUGACAUCCAAGUUGGCACCUGUGUUAGACAGGGAGGUGCGCCAUGUGGAGGGACUGUCACUGAGGUGUCAUGGGAAGAAGCGGGCAAAAAGGAGAAACGUGAGCCCUUUUUUAAGCCCCACUAAAAAAUGUUAGCACACGGAGAACUAUUCCAGCUGGGCAUUGGACCUCUCACCCACUUCGUGGAGGAGAACUAGCCUUUAUGCAGAACUGGCUGCAUGCCAGAUACCUCUGCUGUUAGAUCAUGUCAUCCUGCCCCCAACACUCCCAACGUCACCAUCCCUCUCUCCAUCCCCACAGUGGCUGUACAUCGAUGUCCAGGGCUUUGGAGAACUGAGAUCCAUUUCUCAGUGCUUCCCCCAUCCUUAUCUUUCCUCAGGCGGUACCUCUAGAUCCCCUUUGCUACAUGCCCUCAGUAGUUCCUGCUGGGAAAUGGUACGCAUGGAGGGAUGCCCUGCCUAGUUUUUAAUGUCAGGUUAACACUAGCUAGAGUCAUUCGAGAAAUGGGAACCUCAGUUGAGAAGAUACACCCACCACAUUGGCAUGUGGGAAAUGCCUGUGGGGCAUUUUCUUGAGGAAUGAUUGACGAGGAAGGGUCCAGCCCACUGUGGUGGUGCCAUCUAUGGCUCAGUGGUCCUGGAUGGUAUAACAGAGCAGGCUGAACAAACCACCAAAGGGAAGCGGCAGGGAGCAAGCCAGUAAGCAGUGCUCCUCCAUGGCCUCAACAUCAGUUCUUGUCUCCAGGUUCCUGAUUUGAGCUCUUGCUCUGACUUCCCUGGAUGAGGAACUAGAGGAUGUAAGUUUAAAUAAACGCUUUUCUCCUG